GACAGAGGAGCCAAGCGUUGUCCGGAAUAACUGGGCGUAAAGCGUGCGCAGGCGGUUUUGUAAGCCAGAUGUGAAAGCCCCGGGCUCAACCUGGGAAUGGCAUUUGGGACUGCAAGGCUUGAGUGCGGCAGAGGAGACUGGAAUUCCUGGUGUAGCAGUGAAAUGCGUAGAUAUCAGGAGGAAUACCGAUGGCGAAGGCAGGUCUCUGGGCUGACACUGACGCUCAUGCACGAAAGCGUGGGGAGCAAACGAGGAUAGAAACCCGUAGU
rnacentral:rRNA from 1 species